GAAAUACCCAAAAAAUAUAUAGAUUUAAAUGCCCAAAAAUAUAUAGAAAUUCAAAUGCAAAGAAAAUAUAGAGACAGGUUGAAAUGCCCCCAAAAAUAUAUAGAUUUAAAUGCCCAAAAAUAUAUAGAAAUUCAAAUGCAAAGAAAAUAUAGAGACAGGUUGAAAUGCCCCCCAAAAUA